UACGUAGGUGGCAAGCGUUGUCCGGAUUUACUGGGUGUAAAGGGCGUGUAGCCGGGCUGACAAGUCAGAUGUGAAAUUCCGGGGCUCAACCCCGGACCUGCAUUUGAAACUGUUGGUCUUGAGUAUCGGAGAGGCAGGCGGAAUUCCUAGUGUAGCGGUGAAAUGCGUAGAUAUUAGGGGGAACACCAGUGGCGAAGGCGGCCUGCUGGACGACAACUGACGGUGAGGCGCGAAAGCGUGGGGAGCAAACAGG
rnacentral:rRNA from 1 species